GGCUCCGUAGCUCAGGGGAUAGAGCGGCCGCCUCCUAAGCGGCAGGUCGAUGGUUCGAAUCCAUCCGGGGUCACCA
rnacentral:tRNA from 7 species